AGGCAUUUCGCAAGCAUCACUCGAGAAGUCAGCAGCAGAAUCCAAAAUAAGUGCCAGGAGUCUUGUCUCCCAGUCAUAGAUAGCUACCUGCCUAACAAUUUCAAGAGGAGCACCGAGUACCCGGGAUCUAACAAUGGAAUGAACAGUCCGGAGGCUCCUGGGUUCACCAUUUCCCAUUUCUUCUGAGUUUUCUGAGUUUCCAGAGGACAGAGGAGUACCUGGGUGCCGUCCCCGCCGCCGCCGCCGCCGCGUCCUCCUCCUCCUUCCAAUGCUGGGGGUGCUGUUGCAGGCAGGCGUUGUUACCUACCAGCCGUGGCAGUGGCCGCAGCAGCAGCAGCAGCAGUAACAGCAACAGCAACACCAGCAGCAGCAGCAGCGGCAGCAGCAGCCUGCGCCCCAGAUCCGUUAGCUCCGCCGGCCCCCUCCGCUCGCCGCCGCCGCCGCCGCCAAUGUGAAAUGAAGCCACUAUGGCCAAGCGGUCUGCAGUGCACCGAGCCACGUCGUUGGUACCUGCAUCCCGAAGGAGGUUGGAGAGCAGUGAAGUUGAAACGCAAACUUGGCCGGGGGUGGGGGCCCCCGCUCAGCAAUGAAGUACACCAGCUGUUGUGCAGCUGCCUCCUGGCCCGGGGUAGCGAAGCCAGCGUGCGCUUAAAGACCGUACAAUUCCAUUUCAGAAAGGGUCUCCAUCCCACCCCACCCGGGCUUCCUGGGCUCGGGAUCGUCCCCCUCCCCCCCAAUCCCGGCCUACAGCCUCACUACACCCAGGCAGGGGGUGGGAGGUGGGGUGGGGGGAACUAAUCCGAUCUAACCCACAAAGACCAAGGAAUCUGGAGCUGGGGUUGGCCAGGUGCCCAGAGUUCUGAAAGCUGGAUUGGACAGAGGAGUGAAUGAGGCUCGGGCCCAAGGCUGGGGGCCCCACUGCAACGGAAGGAGAGAAGUGUCUCCAAGGGAUCUGGUACCAAAUGAAGAAAUCAGAGAACAGACUUGGAGGUCGAGUUAAACCUAUGUUGUUCUUGUACCAGCCUGAGGUUCUUUGUGCCUCAAUUUCCCUUAAAAAAAAAAGACUAAUAAUUUCCA